CCAUAGCUCAGUGGUGGAGCACAUGCUUUGCAUGCAGAAGGUCCCAGUUUCAAUCUCUGGUAUUAGGU